GGGCGGUGAUGAAAUUUACUUGUGAAUGGUGGGUCCAUCACAAUUCUGAUCCAUGGGAUUGAAAUGCAAGUGCAUCUGAGCUC